ensembl:lncRNA
AGGCAGUUCUUGAUGCUGAGCUGUCCCAGCAGGCAGUGCUGGUGGUUACCAACUGUUGAGAUUCAAAUUUGUGAUGCUUGUUGGAGCCAAAUCCAUCCCAUGAUAAGCAAGUUGUGCAAGACGUCAGUUUCAAGCAACACUAAUAUGUUGCUCAAGGACACGUUGACAUGCGGACUGGAUUAAAGAAAAUCAGCCUUCGAUUCAGUAGAUGACCUGAUAUACCUCCUGAGCCACAGCCACUCCGGCUGAAGUCCCAACAUUUCAGAAAAUGCAGAUAAAUAU